rnacentral:lncRNA from 1 species
UGAAGAGCCUUGGGACUUCUUAUUCUAUGACUAGUCUAGGAAUUGGAAACUUCCUCAGUAGCUUCCUUCUUACGACGGUUUCUCACAUCACCAAGAAGCAUGGACACCAUGGAUGGAUUCUGAAUAACCUCAAUGCUUCUCAUCUUGACUACUACUAUGCAUUUUUUGCAAUACUCAACUUCUUGAAUUUCAUUUUCUUCAUAGUUGUAACCAAGUACUAUGUGUAUAAGGCUGAAGUUACAGAUUCCAUGGAAGUGCUAGAAGGUCAAUUGAGGGGGCUGACACCUGCUGUGACUAACCAAGAAGAGUCGAGGACUUAGGAUGACUGGAUAUGUGAUCA